UCCUUGCAGGACGGCGUGCGUGCGGCAGCCCGGGCUGCAUUUUCUCAAGAAGUACGAGAGGACACUGCUGCUUGGGAGCCGUGAAUGCUCACUCCUCUCUCAAGAAAGAAAAAGGAAAAGAGGCUCUCAGGAGAGGGACCUCCGCUGCGGGUGAAAUGUAGCCCGUGACCCUCGACCCUCGGGGUCCGGCAUUUGUCUCCAGUGCAGUGACCACAAACAACCCCUGGUUUUGCUGUAAAUGUCAGCGCGGCGCCGUCUCCGCCCUCUCGCCUGUGAAGCACAAUGCUGCGCUCAAGCUGCACUAAUGGGACACUUUGAUGGCAGCGCCAUCAUCACUUGUCCUGUUUGCUUGAUAGCCGCGCAUCCACUUGCUGUCUCUGGUGUCAGCUGCAGCGUCCAAUUGAGAUGGAUGGAUCUCUGGAGUGCGCUCGCUCUUGCCGCACAGCCUGCAACAGCGAGCGGCCGCCGGGCCGCGGCGCAGCGCAUCACCCAACCGCUCAGAUAAAUGCAUUUGUUUUUGUUAGUCCAUUGAAAAAAACAUCAUUUUAUCCAUUGAUUGUUUUGCGCGCGUCCUGUAGUUAAUUAGGUGCAUUGAGGUCUCUGAGGUGAUCAACAGCAUUGACAUCAAAUCCUUUCCCUCUCAUUAAAGGAAACAAAGUCAUUCCAGUUCAGUGAUGCACGUUCUUCCCGGCCGACGCUGGUUUUGAGCUGCACUCUGGAUGGCUUGGUCCUCCUGGGAAACAAACGUUCAGGUCUGAUGGGAAACACGCUCAAACUCGUUUUGUUGUUGUUGUUAGGUGAAUGAAUGCUUUUUGUUUAUGCGAUUGAUGGUGUUUACCUGUUGGUGGUGAAUCAAGUUGUAUGAUUUUGUUUUUGCGUUAAUGUUAUAGAUUCACCUUCGUUUCAAACACUGAAAUUUGGAUUUAGAUGGAUUGGAUCAUUUUUAGGGAAAAAAACAAAAAUCUACAUUUCAGGUGCAGACUUCCAAUGUCCAUAUUUGGUCAAUGUCAUAUUUUUUUUCCACAAAUGAAUGCGACUGAGCAGUCCCCAUGUGGGUCUGUUAUUUUAUUUUAUUAUACUUUUUUUCUUACUAAUUCUAACCUAAAAUGUUGAAAUUGGCUUGAGAACUUCAACCAUGCAAAGUUUGAUUACUCCCCCCAAUAGAUGCUGUGUAUUAAUUUUGGGAGAAAAACACCAAUGACACACUUAGACACUGAUUAUCAAAUGUCUUUUCCUUUUUUUUUUCUUCUAA